GUCAUAUGCUUAUCUCAAAGAUUAAGCCAUGCAUGUCUAAGUACACAGACUAGUACUCUGAAACCGCGGAUGGCUCAUUAUAACAGCUAUGAUUUGAGAGAUUUAAUGCUUGCUACAGGAUAACUGUGGUAAUUCUAGAGCUAAUAUUUGAAAAAAUGCCGUGACUUCGGAAGCGGCGGAUUUAUUAGAUCAAAAUCAACCUACCGGCAACGGUGGUCUCUUGAUGACUCUGGAUAACUGAACUGAUCGUACAGCCUUGUGUUGACGACAUAUCUCUUGAAAUGGCUGACCUAUCAACUUUCGAUGGUAAGAUCAAAGCUUACCAUGGUUGUAACGGGUAACGGGGAAUCAGGGUUCGAUUCCGGAGAGGGAGCCUGAGAAACGGCUACCACAUCCACGGAAGGCAGCAGGCGCGUAAAUUACCCAAUACCAGCUCGGUGAGGUAGUGACAAUAAAUAACAAUAUGAGCCCUAGUGGUUUCAUAAUUGCAAUGAGAACAUUUUAAAUACUUUAUCAAGUAUCAAUUGGAGGGCAAGUCU
rnacentral:rRNA from 1 species